GCCAAAAUUCCUUUAUUAUUACAAUAUAAAAUAUAUUAAAAUAAAUUCUAAACGCGUUUCGCCCACAACAGGCUUCUUCAAGUAGAAUAUAGUAAAAACAAUAAACUGACUAGUAAUGCUUUAUAUAGGUUAUGUUAAAUGUGCUGGAAUUUGAAUAUUCCCGCCAAAAUGGCAUCAUCACAGAAUAAAAUUUGUAAAAUACAGAUCAAAAUAGAGUGACAAUAGUAACAUUGACAUUAUAUUUAAAUAUAAAUACAGUUUGUGUAUAUAAUAUAAAAACGAAAAUAAAAUAGAUAACACUGAAUAGAAAUCACGUGACGCGCGGCGUGGGAUUACUUCCGCGUCACGUGAUUUCUAAGUCCAAUAGGAUACAUGCGUUCCAUAAUUGGAACGCAUGUACCGAGAGGCAGGAUGUUGGCCGGGUAGGGAUUAGCGAGGGGUAUUUCCGCAUCACGUGAUUGCCGCAUCCUAUAAUAUACAUGCGUUCCACCAAUGGAACGCAUGUAUAUAUCGGCAAAGAGCCGGCAGGGUGGGGAGAUAACAUAUCAGCAGGGGGGAGGGACCUUCUAACAGAAAGGAAUAAAAAUGAAGUGUUGUGAGCAUGUUGCCCGCUUAGACAAGCGGACAAGCAACAUGCUCACAGAGAGGGACAAGCCCUCCGGUCCCAAGCCCAAAGCCACACACAUCCACAACACAAAGGGGACACACAACAGAAGCUGAGAUGCACCGUUAGCAUAUUGCCCAAACACCUUAAAAUAUUUGUUUAAUAUAUUUUAAAAAUUAUAGAAAUAAGAUAGUUAAAAAGAAAUUAAUUAAAAAUUAAUUAAGAAGGGAUCAAUGAUUAAAG